AAAGUUGUCGGACCGUCGGUUACAGAGCAAUUACACCCGCUCGGUAGAAGAUCUUUCCUUUGUCAU
rnacentral:pre_miRNA from 1 species